AAUGAACGCUGGCGGCAUGCCUUACACAUGCAAGUCGAACGGCAGCAUGACCUAGCUUGCUAGGUUGAUGGCGAGUGGCGAACGGGUGAGUAAUGCAUCGGAACGUGCCUUUUAGUGGGGGAUAACGUAGCGAAAGUUACGCUAAUACCGCAUAUUCUCUGAGGAGGAAAGCAGGGGGCCUUCGGGCCUUGCGCUAGAAGAGCGGCCGAUGUCGGAUUAGCUAGUUGGUGAGGUAAAGGCUCACCAAGGCAACGAUCCGUAGCGGGUCUGAGAGGAUGAUCCGCCACACUGGGACUGAGACACGGCCCAGACUCCUACGGGAGGCAGCAGUGGGGAAUUUUGGACAAUGGGCGCAAGCCUGAUCCAGCCAUGCCGCGUGAGUGAAGAAGGCCUUCGGGUUGUAAAGCUCUUUCGGCUGGGAAGAAAUCGCACCCUCUAAUACAGGGUGUGGAUGACGGUACCAGCAUAAGAAGCACCGGCUAACUACGUG
rnacentral:rRNA from 1 species